ACCAGACGCCCCCCGCAACAGUAGCUACUCUCAAUUUUCAUUCAACUAAGAACAAGAAUUAAUGUUUUAUUUUACCUUUGUUUAUUCCUUCUCUGAGGUACUUUCUUCAUGGAGAUUAAAGUUUCUAACCUAUAUAGUUUUAUUUCUGCCUGAAAAUUUUCUUUUAACGUUUCUUACAGGGUCUGCUAACAAAUUCCUUGUUUUUGUUUGAGAAAAUACAUUUCACCUUCACUUUCGGGGAAUAAUUUCACUAUAUGUGGAAUACUCCAGCCCUGGCUAGUGCAUAGAUCGGCUAAUCCUACACCAACGGAAAAGCCACAUGGUGAGAAGAGUUUCUGAGGUGUUUCCAGGUAGGAAGGCUGCUCUGGCCCACAGGACAACGUCUGAGGAGUGGCCAUGUUAAGGGAGCAGUUUCCUACACAGCGCAGCGUGGGGCCACACUUAAGCCCCCCACUGGGGCUGGGGCAGGAGCGGCUGGGAGACCCUUCAAGCCUCAGACGGCACCGACAUGGGCCUGAGAAAGGCCCCGGGGACAAGCAUGGGAACGAUCUGGGCACCAGAGCAACUCCCAGGCCCCGCUCUCAUCCCUGCCCUCACACCUGCAGCGCCCAGCCCUGUGUGCCCAGGCCGCGGGCCACGGGACGGCACUUGUGGGCGUGGGGAGUCUGUGUCAGCAGCAGCGAGCAGACCGCACGUAGCGCGGAAAGGGCUCAGGCGGUGUUUGUGGACACAGUGGCUCCGGCCGGAGCUGAGAGAAACGAGGGUCCACACGGGAACUGAUCCAACUGUGAAGGGCUGAAGGAGCUUCA